rnacentral:lncRNA from 1 species
GGCACUGCAGCCUUUCCUUAACCUCUUUUUUUAAUCUCCCCAUUGGUUCUCCCUGUGAAAGCCUUAGGAAGUCGGAUGCUCCCUGAUGAAUUUGGCUGUUUCAAGUAGGCCUACCUUUGCUCUGGAAAGCCUCCAGGUUUAGAGAGCAGAUCCUGAGCCGGCAUCACCAUCCCCCAAGAAGCUGAAUCUGCCAGUCCUGUAAUGUCAGAAGGAUGCUGGAUAAAAUACAAAAGCAAAGUGUAAAAGACCGUAGGAUUCUCUGCAUUUUCAAAAUUAGACUAUUCCAAAAUUAGAUUAUUUCACACAAGGGUGGCGCAUGUGUGAUAUUUCAGUUAAUUGGAUGUUGAUGAAAACAGAUGCUUCAAUGAAUCAAACAGUUUGGUGAUUUCAUAUUCACAUUGGGAAAAAUGGUUGGGACUAUGAUAAUAGGUCGACCCAAGAUGGCCACAGUCAGCAUACAGUGUGGUCCAAAAGAUAUUUGAUUUCCUCUGAUCCCACUGUCCCUUUGUUCUGCAUGAACCAAUCAGGGGUGUUUCAAGGGGCCCCAGGCAAAAAGGACCUAAGGGAGGGCCCUGUCUCAGCUUGGGGCCCCAGACAACUUGCCUGCUUUGCCUACCAUGUUGCAACACCCCUGACAACGUUGAAUACACAGUAAUAUUUCAUAGUCAAAGAAGAAGUGUAGAAUGAAAGUGUUAAAACGUUAAGAUCUUGGUUCAAACAAUGUUCUCCACUUGCAAGAACAUGCAGCUUUGGCUUUCAAUGUUCUUCUCAGACGAUAUGAGUAGGUUCUUGGGCUCUCCUUCCCAAUCAGACUGCCUGACUUGUGUUCUAGGCCUCCCUCUCUCUGUCUGCACUCGCCACAAAGACAGUCUAACAAAGGCCUAAGGCGGAGAAGGAGAGAACGAGAGACAGUGAAGGGAAAGAGGUGGUAAAAAGAGUGGUGGUGGUGGUGUGGGGUUGGGAGGAGGGCACUCAGAGCAGGAUAGAAACAGCGAGAUAGAAAAGGAGAUGGAUGAAGGAAGUGGGAGAGUCAGAGCGUGAGAGAGGGGCAGCCUGAGACAGUAAAGAAGGCAAGCAACACUAAAUUAGAUGCUCUUGGAGAAGAGACAGUGAAUUAAUUCCAAAGAGAAUAUUGCAUUGUAUCUUCCUUUCCCUUCCUCUUUCAGCAUUGGGACACAGAGCGGAGUUAUGUUCCCCCAGAAGGCUCGUCUUUUUCUCCCUUCUCUCUUCUUUCAGUCCCAGGCUGUUGAUACCACUGGCAUCAACUUUUGUUUUCCCUAUCGUUGUCAGUCUACUUAUUAUUCUACUCUUUUUUCCUGCACCAAAUACACUA